rnacentral:rRNA from 1 species
UACGUAGGGUGCGAGCGUUGUCCGGAAUUAUUGGGCGUAAAGGGCUCGUAGGCGGUCUGUCGCGUCGGGAGUGAAAACUCAGGGCUUAACCCUGAGCCUGCUUCCGAUACGGGCAGACUAGAGGUAUGCAGGGGAGAACGGAAUUCCUGGUGUAGCGGUGGAAUGCGCAGAUAUCAGGAGGAACACCGGUGGCGAAAGCGGCUUCCUGGCCCGACACUGACGCUCAUGUACGAAAGCGUGGGGAGCAAACAGG